rnacentral:rRNA from 1 species
ACUCAAAUGAAUUGACGGGGGCCCGCACAAGCGGUGGAGCAUGUGGUUUAAUUCGACGCAACGCGAAAAACCUUACCUACCCUUGACAUCCUCGGAAGCUAAUAGAGAUAUUGGUAUGCCUUAGGGAACCGAGAGACAGGUGCUGCAUGGCUGUCGUCAGCUCGUGUCGUGAGAUGUUGGGUUAAGUCCCGUAACGAGCGCAACCCCUAUUCUUAGUUGCCAACAGGUAAAGCUGGGAACUCUAAGGAGACUGCCGGUGAUAAGCCGGAGGAAGGUGGGGAUGACGUCAAGUCCUCAUGGCCCUUACGGGUAGGGCUACACACGUGCUACAAUGGACGGUACAAAGGGAAGCGAACAUGCGAAUGGGAGCCGAUCUUAUCAAAGCCGUUCGUAGUCCGGAUUGGAGUCUGCAACUCGACUCCAUGAAGUUGGAAUCGCUAGUAAUCGCGAAUCAGAACGUCGCGGUGAAUACGUUCCCGGGCCUUGCACACACCGCCCGU